rnacentral:misc_RNA from 1 species
CGGCCGCGCCAAAACCCCGCAGCAGCAGGAAUUUUUUUGCUCUAGCUUUAGAGAAUAGCACAGAGAUACAAGCGGCUGUGCUUCACAUUUUUAGCAGGAGGCACAGCGCAACAGCACACGUGCAUAGGGAAUACAGCUGCAGAAGUAGAGGCUCUCUCUCUCUCUCUCAGCAAGGAUUGACGGACCCCCACAUGCGCACGCAUAUAGGUGUACAGUCGUGUUAAAGUAGCGCAGCUUCCUCGAGCUCGUCUCCCUCGCUUCCACCCCCUUUUUCGUCUUCUGAUCACCUAGGCCUCUUACCAGGCGUGCGUGCACAGCUUGUCCGCGUCAAGGUCCUUACUCUUCUAGCUCUUUUUUUUCUAGCGUUGACCAUCCAUCUCCAGUACGUCUGCCAUUCUGCACGCAGAAAACGCCACCGGAAUUCUUUUUUUUUCUUCACCUCUUUGCCUCUUUGGCUUCUCCCCUGCCCUGCCCCCUGCCCCCGGUCCUGCCUCGCUGCGACUGCGCGUGCGUUGCGUGUAGCGCUUUUAUUGUGAUUGCCGCUUCCGUGUUCACAAGUGAGGGGUCGGUGUGCCACUCCAGCCGUGGCGACAGACGGCAAGGAACAGAGAGACUCUUGCCUUUUCCCGCCGCGAGUUCCGCGUUUCUCAGUUCACUUUUCUGUAGCGCUUCCUCUUUUUUUUUUCCUUUUUGCUGACUUUACGCAUUGUGCGCUUGCCUCCUCUGCUACCUUAGCGUGUGAGCGCCAUGACGGAGUACCUCAAAGACUUGGCAUCGGUCAAGCCGGGGGAGUCGAUGCCACCCGUCAACCUGGGACCGUACGACAACCCGCUCCUGUGGAACAAGCUGGACCCGUUCGGUGCCGAUCGUGGUCACCAGCGUCGUCCAAUGACGGUGUCCCGCGACUUCAUGGAGCUGAACCAGGUGCCUAUCGUCUACCGUGAUCAUUGCGUGCACCGCUGGAUUCCGUUCAACCGUUGCAUGCGGAACUUGAAGCCGGUGACGUGGGGCACAGUGAACUGCCACGAGUUUGAGGAGUCGUGGAUGGUAUGCCGGGCGCACGAGACGUACCGCCUGCAACUCCUGAAGAGCAAGUUCAUGGAGCUGACGAAGGACUACACAGCGGAGGACAAGAAAUUCUUCCCUAGCAUACUGUACCUCGGCAUUCCGUACUACAUGCCGUCUUUCUACUGGAAUCUGGCGACAUCACAGCGACUUAGCGGGUGGGAUGAGAAGGACCCAGAGAACCCGGUCAUGUGGCGGGAGCCGAACCGCUCCCUCAUGCGCUCUGAGUUCUCGCCGACGAACUGGGAAAAGGGUACCAUGACUAGUGCGUUCGGCCACAAGCUCAUCCCGGAUGAGAUUGUGCAUGAGAUGGUGCCCGGAUUCCCUCUGCCGGAGGAAAAGCGUCCUCAGGCCGCUUAGCCACGGACCGCAGACUUCGAAAGCACGAAAGUGCACAGCAGUGCUACAGGUCGACGCGCGCGCUGGCACUGGCGCUAUUCAAACCGCCGAUUCUGUUGCUCCCCUUUUCACCCAUAUGAUGUGGCAGCGUUGCCGCACCAUGAUCCUUCAGCUUCCUCUUUGUUGUUUCAUCCGCUCGUAUCUGGUUGAUCGUCUAUCAUGUGCAUCUCCUUGAGUCUUCCUGGUAUUUCAAACUGCCCUGGUAGUACUCCAACUCUGGCAUGAGCUUUUUCGCUCUCUCUUCGUGUUUCAUCGGUGAAUCGGAGGGCUCAUCUCUGUCCCUCUUACUGGCUGUGCACCACUGAUGCCAGCUUUAUCUCGUAUUGCUGACGCGUAUCAGAUGUCGUCAUUUCCGCAUCAAC